rnacentral:lncRNA from 10 species
CUCAAGACUCUUGGGUUCCAGUGGUCCUCCUGCCUCAGCCUCCUGUGUAGCUGGUACUACAGGCUACAGCUAAACUGCUCAGUUCCUCAGUCCUUCUUCAUCUCCCACAGUGGAUACAGAGCGUGGCAGCCCCCUCUCAGGAAGUCAUGGAUCUUUAUGGCUGGCAGGACUGUAAAGUCACCCAGUUCAGCCCCUCAUUUACAUAUAAGGAAACAGUCCUAUAGAGAAGGCGUGCCUUUUUAAGUCACACAUUUGAGCAAAUAAAUAAUUAUCUCCUCACACAUUUAAGAUUGCUAUUACAUCCUUUUCUCUAGAACUUUUAACCUUUCAUCCACUCAGAAUGCUUGCCUGGACCCUCUCCAAUUUCUCAAUAUCUUUCUUUUUUUUUUUUUUUUUUUUUUUUUUUUGGAGACGGAGGCUUGCUCCGUCACCUAGACUGGAGUGCAGUGGCAUGAUCUUGGCUCACUGCAACCUCUGCCUCCCAGGUUCAAGUAAUUCUCCUGCCUCAGCCUCUCAAGUAGCUGGGAUUACAGGCGCCCACCACCACGCCCGGCUAAUUUUUGUAUUUUUAAUGGAGACGGGGUUUCACCUUGUUGGCCAGGCUGGUCUCAAACUCCUGACCUCAAGUGAUCCACCCACCUCAGCUUCCCAAAGUGCUGGAAUUACAGGCGUGAGCCCUCGCGCCCAGUUCAACAUCUUUCUUAAGUGGGCCCAAGGUUGGGGGGAAAAUCUCACCGUAGAGAUAUUUGUUAGAUAUCGAGCAUGUGCUGAAGAAGGCAUCUGUGAUGAUUAAUUUUAUGUGUCAGUUGGACUGGACCAUGGGGUGCCCAGAUAUCAGCUUGAACAUUACUCUGGGUCCAUCUGUGAGGGCGUGGGGUAGGACUGGCAUUUAUGUUGGUGGAGCAAGUAAAGCAGGCUGCCUCCCUAACGCAGGGGAUCCUCAUCCAUCAGCUGAGGGCCCAAAUAGAACAAAAGGCUGAGUUGGAGGGCGCCCCUCCUGCAUGACCAACUUUCAAGUGGUGACAUCAGCUUUCUUCCUGUUUUUGGACUUGAACUGAAACAUCAGCUCUUCCUGGAUCUUCAGCCUGCUGGCCUUCAGACUAGAACUACAACCUCGGCUCUCCUGGGUCUCGGCUUGCUGACUCACCCUGCAGAACUUGGGACUUGUCAGCCUCUACAUUUGUAUGAGCCAAUUCCUUAUAAUGUCUUUCUGUAUAUAUACAUAUAUCUCCACAUCUUAUUGUUCUGCUUCUCUGGAGAACCCUGAGUAAUACAGCAUCAUUCCAAGAUCAGCAGAAAUGUUAGUGCUUCUGGGGAAUUACUGCAAAGGGUACCUGAAUAGCAGCACAUGCUCUCAGUACCCCCGCCUUCUGUUGUCUGCUGUUGCCUGCUCCCUCCCCACCCUUUGGGUUGAUUUCAGGAUAGAGAUAUGGGGAUGGGACUGGGGUUGGGUGUGCGGUUACCCAGAACAGCCAGGAUGUGUGCACGCUGUGACCCAGGAGCAUCAAGCACUGCUCAAGCUGCUUGGAAAAGAAAACAAAAGUCAGGAAAGUGAG